AUUGAACGCUGGCGGCAGGCCUAACACAUGCAAGUCGAACGAGCGGCGGACGGGUGAGUAAUGUCUGGGAAACUGCCCGAUGGAGGGGGAUAACUACUGGAACCGGUAGCUAAUACCGCAUACCAUCGGAUGUGCCCAGAUGGGAGUAGCUAGUAGGUGGGGUAACGGAUCACCUAGGCGACGAUCCCUAGCUGGUCUGCGAGGAUGAACAGCCACACUGUAACUGAGACACGGUCCAGACUCCUACGGAAGGCAGCAGUGGGAAAUAUUGCACAAUGGGCGCAAGCCUGAUGCAGCCAUGCCGCGUGUAUGAAGAAGGCCUGCGGGUUGUAAAGUACUUUCAGCGGGGAGGCGUUACCCGCAGAAGAAGCACCGGCUAACUCCGUGCCAGCAGCCGCGGUAAUUC
rnacentral:rRNA from 1 species